UUAAAAGAAAUUUUAGAAAACACGGACUUUAUUAAAGACUUUUGGAACAAAUUUGAACUUUGAGAAAAACCACUUUAAAAUUUUAGAACCAUUUCCCUUUACUUCAAAUCUAACCCACAAUCGGAAAAUAAGAUUUUUCAUAGAGAGUGUACCAUAACAUGAACGGGAUUUUGAAAAUAAUCUCGAGGUGGCGGAAUAAUUCACAUAAAACAUCACCGGGGUUUAGAAAACACUCGUAAGACAGCGGAAGGAAAUAAACUUUAUUUAACAUACCCCCGUUUAAUAGAUCGGGUUCCCAAAUCAGAGUACAAAAUUAAAAAUCGAUAUCUUGGCUAGAUAUUUUAGAAAACGAUGACGUGGUAAAAUACGAGUUAAAUAGUCAAGGCACCAACGCUCGUGAUUCCUCGAACUCCACUCCGCCGGUUUCCUAAAUAGCUUGGAGAACCUGAAAAGAUAAUUUGCAUAAAAGCAUGAGCCCAAACACUGGCUCAGUAAGGACAUUAGUCUUAGUCUGACGAACUCACGCCUCUCUCAUCGCAUCUCUCACGACCUAUGGGAAUCCUAAAAUCAUUCGUCUAUGUUCUUUCCAACUAAUUAGAUUAUCUCUAUUCAUCAUCAUAAACCGUGAAAUACAAGCACGUCACACAUAUUCAAGCACAUAAUAACACAUAUACGCACAUAAUAUGGUUUUCUUUCGAAAACUAUUUGAAAAUCAUUUCGGAAAUCUUUCUUGUAAAUUAGUGCAUAAUCUACUAGGAAAUCCGUGUUAGACAUAAAAUCCCUUUCAACGAAAUUAUCCUUUUUAAACAAAACGGAAUUUCUUUUAAAAGAAAAUCAUUUUUCUUCCAAAAUCAUUUUUAUGCGUAGAUGCGUAUGACGGGAUCCCUAUCAAAACCUUAACGUAAGCAUCGGCAAUAGACGUUUAUAUGCUGAGCCCGAUCAUUCGGUGGGAGCUAACCACCCUAUAGUUCUAUAGUAACUGUUGUUGGGAUACCGGCCCCCCGUAUCCCGUGUCUAUUCAACCGUAGCAACGUCACAAUUUUGACCUUUCUAUAGUAGACCAUGCAAUACCAAUUAAUGACUCGAUGAAUGCAGGCAAGUCGAUGAUCUUAAUAGCAACACGAUAAUAAUUCCAAUUAUAUCAUUCAUAUAUUUUGAAGGAGUUAAAUCACAUAAUUCGGAAGUAAUUUCCGAGGAUAUAGUAAGCACAUAUAGAUCAGACAUUAGUAAUAAAGACACAUAUACUUGUACACGUAUACACACAUAGGUACUUAUAUGCAUAUAUAUACCUAUACCUAUACGUAUAUACUCUAAUUUAUAACUAUGGAUUAUAAGUUUCCUCAACACGAAGGGAGUACGCCUAUAACAUCAUAGGUCUAAACUAUCGAUAUACAUAUAAAUAUACUUAUACAUAUACAUACUUAUACCUCACAAGCGUAAAUCACAUAAUUCAAAUACACAUAAUGAAAUUCAUCGCUUCUUAUUUAAAGAAUCAUCGGGAAAUCUAAUUCAUUAUAAGUACUAGCACAUAGUAAGAUCAAAGAACAACUUAGUAUUCUAAUCAUAGAUUAGUCUAAGAAUAUUUCUUAGAUGUAGCUCAAUACUCAUGGGAAACUUCAUCUAUGUUCAAUUAUGUUAAGUUGUGCCUCAAGAGUUUAAACCAUGCUCACAAAGGACCCUUUAAUUCAAGUAGUUUACCUUUUUAGGAAAAUCGGGCAGUUUUGACACUUUUAACUUUAAAAAUACAUAUCUCUUAGGCCAUAACUUCAAAAAUUCUGAAUCUUUAAAAAACUACUCCUGUAUCAGUGGAAAAAAUUCCUUUAAAACAGUUUUCCAAAAUAACCAGUAUCCUAAGAGAAAUAAGUAAAACAGUACAGUAGUAUGGUCACACUUUCAGAAACAGAACCAACCACUUUAAAAUUACCCAAUAAAUCAAACUUUUGUUAAAACACUGCACAUCUUUGUCGAAGACUGGUUUUAUAAGUUAUAAAUCCAUUCCAAGUGGAAUUAAAGAAGUUAACUAGGAAAAACAUCGAUUUUAAAAGCAAAUUCUCAGCUGACUCAAAAACUGUACAGGUUUAGUAAAUAAUUCAUAUCUUAACCAUCUGAAAUCCGAUUGAUGAUUGAAAUAUAUCAAAUUAAAGAGAACAGAAAGAUCUAGUUACCCAUAAACUUUCGUGAUUUUUGGAAAACAGGGCAUCUGUGAAACAUGCAGUAAACUCUGAGACUGAAAACCUGAAAAUUCAUUAGUAAUCUAUAUCUACAUCUUUGAUCAAAACAGAUCUGGCAGUUUAGGCACUAUAACUUCAGAAACUCAUAUCUCCUAAAAAGUAGAUCCAAACCUGAUGAAAUUCGGAACACAUGUUCAUAUCUAAGUCUAGUUUAUAGGGUUAAAACAGUUUAUGAAGAAACUCAUCUAUGUAAGAGAUAUAGUCAAUUUAGUGCAGUAACAUAAGCAGAAAUUCAGAACAGAUCCACUAACUUUAAAAAUACCAAAUAAUUCAUCACUUAAUCCAAAAGUUACCCAAUUUUGUAGAAUAUUCGUUUCAUAAGUACAUAUCAUAUUCGAGUGAAAUCACUUCAAUAAGGGUAGUAUAAAAAGCUAUUUAACACAUAAUUCGUGGAUGACUCCGAAACUGUGCAGAUUCAGAAAACGAUUCAUAACUCACUCAAUACAAAUCCGAUUUAUGCAUAAUUUAUAUCCACAUGAAGCUAACCGAAAGAUAUAGACUACCAUAAAAUUUCAUAAUUUUAUCUUAGGGAUUACCCGAUGAGACAUGCAAUACAAUCAGAAGCUACGAAACUGAAAUUCAAUUAGUGUUCAUCAAGAACUUUAUCUUCUAAAGCCCAAAAUUAAAACUACUAACAUAUAAUUCAUUAAAACCCAUAUAAUUUAUAUUAAUUAGGUUAUUAUUUCAGUAAAGACCAAGGUCCUUACCCAAGAGCAAGAAAUCAAAGAUGAAGGAGUAAGAAAACCCAAGGCUCGGUGGAUAUUCGGCGGGUUUGGCUUGGAUGUUCUUGGAUGGCUUUGGGGCUGAGUUUGAAGGAUGUGAAGGGGCUGUUGCUUGAAGAUAGAAGAUGGAGUUUCUCUUUUCGAGAGGAGGAGAGGAAUUGAAGAGAGAAGAGGAAGGGGCUUUGAUGGGAGCUUCUUGACUCGAAGGGGAAGAAGAGAAUUCUUCUUUGGGGCUGUUUUUGCUCGAUGGAGAGGGAGAGGAGAGGGCCUUUUGGCUGAUGUUUUGGUGUGAAGAGAAUGUGAAGAGGAGGGGUUUAUUUAUAGGGGAGAUGAGGCCCUUAUUUGCAAUAUAAAAGACAUUGGGGUUCUAUUAGCAAUUUGGGAGAACAUACCUUGGGGGCUUCUUAACAAUAUAGAAGAGAAGAGGGGAGUCCUUAGUAAUUAAUCAACUUAGGGAGCAACUCACUUUCCCUCACACACACCACACGGCCAAUACACACACUAAAACAUAUAAUUCAUAUAAAUUCCAUAGGAUACCAAUUAAACUAUAACGAAAACUAAUUUCACAUCAUCUCAAUCCUAGAUUAAUUAUCAAUUAAAGCACAUCAUUAAAAUCCAUGACUAAAGCACAUAAUUCAUUAAAUCACAUAAUUAGAAUCAACUACUCAAUUAAUAAUAAUGUCUACUUCUAAAAAUACUAUAAUGUAUCUAAAUCACAUAAACACAUAGAGAACGUACAAAUUGCUACGCGAUUCAUGAAAUGCAUGUAUAUUCGUAUUUACUAUAUGUUCAAUAUAAUCAUAUGUAAAUGCUUAUGAAAAUGCGGGCUGUUACAAUCUUCCCCCCUUAAAUAAAUUUUGUCCUCAAAAUUUGAAAAGUUUCCGUAAAAGACGAUGAGACCAAGUUACAACAUAGCGUUUCUUGAAUAGGGGUUAACAAUAAUUAGGAAAACGUCUUCCUACCUUUUCAAAAGUUCGCCUUGAUUCCAAAAUAUUUUGUAAAUAAAUAGGAAACAUGCUUCUUGUAAAAAUUCCGGUAAGAGUUUUAGCACUACUAUGAUAGCCUUUAGGGAAAAUAGUAACCGAGUCGAGUUGAAAAUUCUAAUUAUCAUAAAAACAAAACUCAAUUUUGAAAUAUUUUAAAAAUUUCUCUUACCUUCUUUUGAAAUGUUUUGAACACCUCUGGGAUGCAUGAUAUGAAAGCGUUGUAUGAUAUGCAACAAUAAUCUUAUCUAGUUCUUAUAUGCACAUAAGGUUUACAUGAACACAUAGUAUCAUAAACCCAUAAACAUCUAAUAUGCAAGACAUGAUAUAGUUUAAGCUAAUGAAUCCAUUUAUACUACGAACAAGUUAUAAACCAAUCAGUUGUAAAUUUGUAGAUAAUCACAUAGAUUUGUACAAACAUAAAUCAGGAAUAAAUUCACUACCAACUUCAAAGUUAUACAUUUCUAGAAAACUCAUUUCCUAUAAAACAAAAGUUUGCAUGCAUUUUUGAAAAUAUGCAAAUCAAAUCAGUGCGCUUUUUAUGUAUUUCAUGAAUGCACCAUUAAGAAUGCACCUAAGUUUCACACAAGAUACAGAUCAUCCACUUCAAUACAUGGCACCGCAUAUAUCCACAUAGAUUCUACCAAAAAUGUUAGAUGCAACUAUACUCUAAAAUGCACACACAUGAUUCAUAUAGUAAGAAUUUAACUUUCAAAUUUCUACCCAUGCAUAUCUUAUCGAACAAAAAAAUUUUCAAACCCUUUGCUUAAAAGAAAUAUCAAAAUUCAGAAUCCUUCUGAAUCCAAAUAUCAUCAAGCAUUCAUCUGUUUUAGAAAAACAAACUUUCGAAAGUCAUCAUUUGAAAAAUAAUUUCUAUAAUUGACCCAUCCAAAAGAGUCAAUCAAAGUGAUUAACAUGCUAGUAAAUAAUUUCAUUAUGAUGCAUAUAAUAAAUCACUCAGGCAUAUGGCAUGGACUCAAGUAUAUCACAUAAUGCACGAAACUCACUACCAAAGAACACAUUAUUCAUAAAAUUCAAUUUCAAUUCUCAAAAUCUCAAUUAAGUCAUAUAUUAUCCUACCGUUAACUUCGAAUAUCCGAAUUUCGAAAAUCAAAGUAUCGCACAUAGUUGGGACCAUAGAAAUACAGGUACAUGAGUUUUAAGAAAAUUCAAGAUAAGUUUUAUCAUAAAGCUGCGUCUAUUUUGAAACAAAAUAUUUUAUCAACAUCGUGAAUAAUUUAAAACGUGCCUCUUUCAAUCACCAACAAAGUUGAGAGGUUUAUCAAAAAGAACUUCGAGAUCUUAAAAUUAGAAACCGGUCUCAACUAUUUUCGAGAAAACACUUUUAAAGAAGUAUAUACUUAUAAAUUCAAAAUUAUGAAAUAUCAAAGUAUAAUAAUUUACUAAGAAAACUUGACUAUGCACAUAGUUCACAUAAUUUCACAUAGUCAAAAUAACAAAUAUCAAAAUCUAAAGGCAACUAGCUCGAUUAGAUUCUAUAGACACCUAGUUUGGUCCAAAUUAUCAAUUACAUGAAUCGAUGGGAAUCUUCGAAAAUAAUUUAGUCACAAAUAUGCAAUUAUCAAGAAAUCUGAACGUCAUAAAUGCAAAUAGCAUACACAUAUGCAUACAGAGGUAUGAGAUUAAUUAAUCCACACCCGUAGAAAAAUCAUGUAAUUCAUAUAUAUAUGAAUUUAAAUUGCACAUGUACUUAAUUUGUUAACAAAAGUCGAUCAUACUUUGUCACAUAAACUACCAUACAUGUCACAUAAUAUUAAUAGCACACUUAGUCAACUAUUUCAGGAAAUCGAACAUAUAAGAUAGAUUAACCAAGAAAUGGGCAUAUGACAAGAACUAGUGAGAAAUCUAUAGUAUAUCACAUAAUUCUUUACCGAUGAGAUUCACGAAGUUGUAAAGUGACCUUAAAAUAAUUUGAAUUAAACUUCAUCGAGGGACAUCAUGCUUAAUUCUCACAUUCGCAUUGUUCAAGUAUGUUUAAGUAAACCAGGAUUAAUGCGAUCUAACCUUAUAUAUAAGGUACACAUAACUAAUUUAUUUAUACACCCAUUAAUUCAAUUGCUAUACUCCUAGAUCAUCAAGUCCAUUCAAAAUAAGUUAGAGACAACAAUUCAUACCAACCACUUCGUUCAAGUAAAUUCAAGGAAAAAUUCAAGAAAACGAGUUUCUCUUAUCAAGAGAAUUUCUUUUUAAAUUAAAAUCCAACUUAGUGAAAGUUUGAAAGUUUUAUUGAAAAUUCUUACUUGAUUGAAAAAUGGGUUCUAUUCCUAAAACUUCGAAAGUUCAAUCAUUACACAAUCAUCAUGACUUUAGAUCUUCCAAUUAAACAAACGUGCAUAAUCAACAAGCACAAAGGUAGAGCAUAAAUCAAAAAAAAAUAUUUAUCAAUUAAACAAAAUAUCAAAUACUUUCCAAAUUUAUUUUAUGGAAACGAAUAUUUUUCAAUACACUAAAUAAUUCCACAUGCAAAUCUCAAUCAACGAUAUUAUAGCAUGGAAUUUUCAAAGAAGGUUUGAAUCACUUAACCAAUUAUAAAUCACAUAAAACUUAGUUCUAAAUCAGAACGUAAAAUAUCAAACAUUUCGGGGUACUUAUCUCAAUUAUUUGAUCAACAAUAUGGCAUACACCAAAUUACAUAAAACUUCAAAAUCACAUAAAUUAUCUGCACCUCAUUACUCAUAUUACAUAGUGCAAUUAAGAGAUUGUAAAUCUUACUACGAUCAACUCGAGAUAUAGUCAAUGAGUAAAUUUAUAUAAAAUUCUAAGUUCUCUAAUUCAAGUCCUUAUAACUAAGAAUCAUACCUUAUUACUUAGGCCGGGAAUGGGAGGAGGAAUCACAUGUGCCUUGAGCCAUAACGAGGAACCCAGUCUAUUAAACACUGCUUUGAUACCACGUUGUAGCACCCUCAAUGAUUUAAAAGAAAUUUUAGAAAACACGGACUUUAUUAAAGACUUUUGGAACAAAUUUGAACUUUGAGAAAAACCACUUUAAAAUUUUAGAACCAUUUCCCUUUACUUCAAAUCUAACCCACAAUCAGAAAAUAAGAUUUUUCAUAGAGAGUGUACCAUAACAUGAACGGGAUUUUGAAAAUAAUCUCGAGGUGGCGGAAUAAUCCACAUAAAACAUCACCGGGGUUUAGAAAACACUCGUAAGACAGCGGAAGGAAAUAAACUUUAUUUAAGAUACCCCCGUUUAAUAGAUCGGGUUCCCAAAUCAGAGUACAAAAUAAAAAAUCGAUAUCUUGGCUAGAUAUUUUAGAAAACGUUGACGUGGUAAAAUACGAGUUAAA
rnacentral:lncRNA from 1 species